rnacentral:rRNA from 1 species
GCAAGUCGAGCGGAAACGAGUUAACUGAACCUUCGGGGAACGUUAACGGCGUCGAGCGGCGGACGGGUGAGUAAUGCCUGGGAAAUUGCCCUGAUGUGGGGGAUAACCAUUGGAAACGAUGGCUAAUACCGCAUAAUAGCUUCGGCUCAAAGAGGGGGACCUUCGGGCCUCUCGCGUCAGGAUAUGCCCAGGUGGGAUUAGCUAGUUGGUGAGGUAAGGGCUCACCAAGGCGACGAUCCCUAGCUGGUCUGAGAGGAUGAUCAGCCACACUGGAACUGAGACACGGUCCAGACUCCUACGGGAGGCAGCAGUGGGGAAUAUUGCACAAUGGGCGCAAGCCUGAUGCAGCCAUGCCGCGUGUAUGAAGAAGGCCUUCGGGUUGUAAAGUACUUUCAGCAGUGAGGAAGGUUCAUGCGUUAAUAGCGUAUGGAUUUGACGUUAGCUGCAGAAGAAGCACCGGCUAACUCCGUGCCAGCAGCCGCGGUAAUACGGAGGGUGCGAGCGUUAAUCGGAAUUACUGGGCGUAAAGCGCAUGCAGGUG